rnacentral:tRNA from 1 species
UGCGGGGUAGAGCAGAGGCAGCUCGUCGGGCUCAUAACCCGGAGGUCGUAGGUUCGAAUCCUACCCCCGCUACCU